AAGUUUGUAGCGAAUCGCAGUUAGUUUCGACCUAACCUAUGGUAACCAAAUAUUACCCGAACUUA
rnacentral:tRNA from 1 species